rnacentral:rRNA from 1 species
AUUGAACGCUGGCGGCAGGCCUAACACAUGCCAGUCGAACGGUAACAGGAAGAAGCUUGCUUCUUUGCUGACGAGUGGCGGACGGGUGAGUAAUGUCUGGGAAACUGCCUGAUGGAGGGGGAUAACUACUGGAAACGGUAGCUAAUACCGCAUAACGUCGCAAGACCAAAGAGGGGGACCUUCGGGCCUCUUGCCAUCGGAUGUGCCCAGAUGGGAUUAGCUAGUAGGUGGGGUAACGGCUCACCUAGGCGACGAUCCCUAGCUGGUCUGAGAGGAUGACCAGCCACACUGGAACUGAGACACGGUCCAGACUCCUACGGGAGGCAGCAGUGGGGAAUAUUGCACAAUGGGCGCAAGCCUGAUGCAGCCAUGCCGCGUGUAUGAAGAAGGCCUUCGGGUUGUAAAGUACUUUCAGCGGGGAGGAAGGGAGUAAAGUUAAUACCCUUGCUCAUUGACGUUACCCGCAGAAGAAGCACCGGCUAACUCCGUG